rnacentral:rRNA from 1 species
AUACGUAGGGUCCAAGCGUUAUCCGGAUUUACUGGGUGUAAAGGGCGAGUAGACGGCGCUGUAAGUCAGCUGUGAAAACUUAGGGCUCAACCUUAAGCCUGCAGCUGAAACUGUAGUGCUAGAGUGCAGGAGAGGUAAGCGGAAUUCCUAGUGUAGCGGUGAAAUGCGUAGAUAUUAGGAGGAACACCAGUGGCGAAGGCGGCUUACUGGACUGUAACUGACGUUGAGGCGCGAAAGUGUGGGGAGCAAACAGGAUUAGAUACCCUGGUAGUCCACACCGUAAACGAUGGAUACUAGGUGUAGGCGAGAUAUCGUCUGUGCCGGCGCAAACGCAAUAAGUAUCCCACCUGGGGAGUACGGCCGCAAGGUUGAAACUCAAAGGAAUUGACGGGG